rnacentral:rRNA from 1 species
UAGUCCACGCCGUAAACGAUGAGUGCUAGUUGCUGGGUCUUGAACUCGGUGACGCAGCUAACGCAUUAAGCACUCCGCCUGGGGAGUACGGUCGCAAGAUUAAAACUCAAAGGAAUUGACGGGGACCCGCACAAGCGGUGGAGCAUGUGGUUUAAUUCGAGGCUACGCGAAGAACCUUACCAGUCCUUGACAUCCUGAUCGCGGGUUAUAGAGAUAUAUCCCUUCGGUUCGGCCGGAUCAGUGACAGGUGCUGCAUGGUUGUCGUCAGCUCGUGUCGUGAGAUGUUGGGUUAAGUCCCGCAACGAGCGCAACCCUCACCAAUAUUUGCCAGCAUUUCGGAUGGGAACUAUAUUGGAACUGCCCGUGACAAGCGGGAGGAAGGCGGGGAUGACGUCAAAUCAGCACGGCCCUUAUGGACUGGGCCACACACGUGCUACAAUGGAGACUACAAUGGGCUGCUACCUGGCGACAGGAUGCUAAUCUCAAAAAGUCUU